UACAGAGGGUGCAAGCGUUAAUCGGAAUUACUGGGCGUAAAGCGCACGUAGGUGGCUGGGUAAGUUGGAUGUGAAAUCCCCGGGCUUAACUUGGGAAUUGCAUUCAAGACUGCCUUGCUAGAGUGUGGAAGAGGGAAGCGGAAUUCCAGGUGUAGCGGUGAAAUGCGUAGAUAUCAGGAGGAACACCUGUGGUGUAGACAGCUUACUGGACCAUUUCUGACGCUGAGACACGAAAGCGUGGGUAGCAAACAGG
rnacentral:rRNA from 1 species